rnacentral:rRNA from 1 species
AUUGAACGCUGGCGGCAUGCCUUACACAUGCAAGUCGAGCGGCAGCGCGGGGGCAACCCUGGCGGCGAGCGGCGAACGGGUGAGUAAUGCAUCGGAACGUGUCCUCUUGUGGGGGAUAACCAGUCGAAAGACUGGCUAAUACCGCAUGAGCUCGAGAGAUGAAAGCAGGGGACCCGCAAGGGCCUUGCGCGAGAGGAGCGGCCGAUGCCCGAUAGCUAGUUGGUGGGGUAAUAGCCCACCAAGGCGACGAUCGGUAGCUGGUCUGAGAGGACGACCAGCCACACUGGGACUGAGACACGGCCCAGACUCCUACGGGAGGCAGCAGUGGGGAAUUUUGGACAAUGGGGCAACCCUGAUCCAGCCAUGCCGCGUGUGUGAAGAAGGCC